CCUUCUACACCCCCGAGGGGCUGCGCCACGGCACUCGCCUGCACACCCACCUGAUUGGCAACAUACACACUCACUUGGUGCACUACCGUGUAGACCUGGAUGUGGCAGGCACCAAGAACAGCUUCCAGACACUGCAGAUGAAGCUAGAAAACAUCACCAACCCCUGGAGCCCGAGACACCGCGUGGUCCAGCCAACUCUGGAGCAGACGCAGUACUCCUGGGAGCGCCAGGCGGCCUUCCGCUUCAAAAGGAAGCUGCCCAAGUACCUGCUCUUUACCAGCCCCCAGGAGAACCCCUGGGGCCACAAGCGCAGCUACCGCCUGCAGAUCCACUCCAUGGCCGACCAGGUGCUGCCCCCAGGCUGGCAGGAGGAGCAGGCCAUCACCUGGGCAAGGUACCCCCUGGCAGUGACCAAGUACCGGGAGUCGGAGCUGUGCAGCAGCAGCAUCUACCACCAGAACGACCCCUGGGACCCGCCCGUGGUCUUCGAGAAGUUUCUUCACAACAACGAGAACAUUGAAAAUGAGGACUUGGUGGCCUGGGUGACGGUGGGCUUCCUGCACAUCCCCCACUCAGAGGACAUUCCCAACACAGCCACACCUGGGAACUCCGUGGGCUUCCUGCUCCGGCCAUUCAACUUCUUCCCAGAGGACCCCUCCCUGGCAUCCAGAGACACUGUGAUCGUGUGGCCUCGGGACAAUGGCCCCAACUACGUCCAGCGCUGGAUCCCUGAGGACAGGGACUGCUCGAUGCCUCCCCCUUUUAGCUACAAUGGGACCUACAGACCUGUGUGACCAGCCCCCA
rnacentral:sRNA from 1 species